rnacentral:lncRNA from 1 species
CUUAGUUUCACUACAAACUAAUACAAACUUAUUUCCCCUUAAAAUAUUUCUUCCAUGAUUGAUUAGUCAAGAUGGCAGUCUCAGAUCAAGACUUGCUGAAGAAAUGUCAUUAAUAAUAAUCCUUUUUGCCACAGUAGUAUGACAGUGAAGGCUGAAUACAGACAAAGCUCCUUAUUGGAAGGAGAAGCUCUUGGUGACCUGCAAUUACAAAAAACCUAAAUAACAUUUUCCUUAACUACAGUGGCCAUGGAGAGGGGAGAGAAGAUAGCACAGGUGGAAAAGAGAGAAAAUGAAGAAAAAGGAAAAAAAUAAUCAGAUGCAAGAACAUUAGACACCUGCAUUUCUUUCCUAGGAGCUUCAUAAGCUCAUUGGACUGGAAUAUGCUUUCACCUACAUUUAGCAAAUUCAGGAAAAAUUCUGCUGAAGGCAACAGUUAUAUACAUACAAAAAUUGUAUAAGGCCCACUGUGUCUGCAGACACAAUUCUGUAUAUUCACUAUCUGGCUGUUUUGCAAGUACAGGUACCCUACUGUGUUUCUGUUCCAAUGAAAGAAUCUGGAAGCACUUCAAAAUAACAAAAUCUCCCUAGUCCUUUGAAGCUGGCCUUUGAACCUACUGAGACAGCUGGUAGCGACAUGGUGUGGGCAUGGUAUUACCCUGGUUUCCUAUUGAAGAGCUGUAUAUGGAUGACAAAAGGAGAAAGAGCACAAUAUACAACACUACAGAGGCCCUGCUAACACCCUGGGGAAGCAAACCUCUUGCUUUCCAAAUUUGUAGCAUAAGCAUUACUACACAAGGCCAUUUGAAGAGGAAACACAAGUUAUUAUGGGGGAAAUAUGGAGCACCUUUUCAGUUUUUUUAUGUUGGUGAGGGACUUAGAAAUCCAAGAAGUCCUUGGAAGGAUAUACAUUUCAAGGUUAUCAGGUAAAAUGAACGAACAAGGAAACUGACAAAAACUAUGAGAUAAAACUUAUACUGUCUCAAAAAUAAUUGGUGUAUAUAUAUAAUAUUUAAACAUAUAAAUAAUAUAAUAAAUAAAUAAAUAAAUAAAUAAAUAUUCUAUCA